rnacentral:rRNA from 1 species
UACGUAGGGGGGCGAGCGUUGUCCGGAGUUACUGGGCGUAAAGGGCACGCAGGCGGUGCGGCGCGUUUCGCGUGACAGCGGAGGGCUUAACUCUCCGAGGAUGCGAAAGACGGCGGCGACUUGAGGGCCAGAGAGGGACACGGAAUUCCGGGUGGAGUGGUGAAAUGCGUAGAGAUCCGGGAGGAACACCGGAAGGCGAAGGCAGUGUCCUGGCUGGUGACUGACGCUGAGGUGCGAAAGCUAGGGGAGCGAACGGG